UACGAAGGGGGGCUAGCGUUGCUCGGAAUUACUGGGCGUAAAGGGAGCGUAGGCGGAUAGUUUAGUCAGAGGUGAAAGCCCAGGGCUCAACCUUGGAAUUGCCUUUGAUACUGGCUAUCUUGAGUACGGAAGAGGUAUGUGGAACUCCGAGUGUAGAGGUGAAAUUUCGUAGAUAUUCGGAAGAACACCAGUGGCGAAGGCGACUCACUGGCCCGUUACUGACGCUGAGGCGCGAAAGCGUGGGGGAGCAAACAGG
rnacentral:rRNA from 1 species